rnacentral:ncRNA from 1 species
AGAACCCUCAGAGGCUACAACCCAACACCAUCACCUAAACCAAGCUGGAGUACGGUAGGGUAGAGGGAAUUUCCGGUGGAGCAGUGAAAUGCGUAGAGAUCGGAAAGAACACCAACGGUGAAAGCACUCUACUGGGCUGACACUGACUCUGAGAGACAAAAGCUAGGGGAGCGAAUGGGAUUAGAUACCCCACUAGUCAAUUUGCAACUAUAUUAAGCAAAGAUUACUGUUUCCUGUCCACAAGUGGGCAAUGAAGGUUCUAUCAAGUAUUCC